UACGAAAGGUGCAAGCGUUAAUCGGAAUUACUGGGCGUAAAGCGCGCGUAGGCGGCUUGGUAAGUUGGAUGUGAAAGCCCCGGGCUCAACCUGGGAACUGCAUCCGAUACUGCCGUACUAGAGGAUUGGAGAGGUAGCUGGAAUUCACGGUGUAGCAGUGAAAUGCGUAGAUAUGACACAGAACACCGAUAGCGAAGGCAGCUCACUGGCUCGAUACUGACGCUGAGGUGCGAAAGUGUGGGGAGCAAACAGG
rnacentral:rRNA from 1 species